rnacentral:lncRNA from 1 species
GGCAACCAGCAGCAUCCACCCGGCGGCCGGCAGGCAGGAGCCAGCGAGGCCCGGAAGGCUGUAGAGUGCGCCAGCCACUCGGAGUCUAGCGCACCCCUACUUCGUUUUCCUUCGCCUCCUACCCGCCAAGGUCCGACUGGUUUCUUCGCCUGCGCCAAGCCUAGGGAGGGGGUUAGGAGCAGCCGCGCCCCCCUCCCCGCGGCAGCCGCCCCCUGCUCUCCCAGCUCUGCUCGCUGCCGCGUGCGCCCGGGCCGGUGCGCCCCGGCAGCGCCAGCCAUGUCGAUGCUGCCGUCGUUUGGUUUUACUCAAGAGCAAGUGGCGUGCGUGUGCGAGGUUCUGCAGCAAGGAGGGAACCUGGAACGCCUGGGCAGGUUCUUGUGGUCGUUGCCCGCCUGCGAUCACCUGCACAAGAACG